UACGUAGGGUGCAAGCGUUGUCCGGAAUUAUUGGGCGUAAAGAGCUCGUAGGCGGUCUGUCGCGUCUGCUGUGAAAACUCAGGGCUUAACCCUGAGCUUGCAGUGGGUACGGGCAGACUAGAGUGCGGUAGGGGGAGACUGGAAUUCCUGGUGUAGCGGUGAAAUGCGCAGAUAUCAGGAGGAACACCGGUGGCGAAGGCGGGGUCUCUGGGCCGUAACUG
rnacentral:rRNA from 1 species